rnacentral:rRNA from 1 species
GGUUAAGCGACUAAGCGUACACGGUGGAUGCCCUGGCAGUCAGAGGCGAUGAAGGACGUGCUAAUCUGCGAUAAGCGUCGGUAAGGUGAUAUGAACCGUUAUAACCGGCGAUUUCCGAAUGGGGAAACCCAGUGUGAUUCGUCACACUAUCAUUAACUGAAUCCAUAGGUUAAUGAGGCGAACCGGGGGAACUGAAACAUCUAAGUACCCCGAGGAAAAGAAAUCAACCGAGAUUCCCCCAGUAGCGGCGAGCGAACGGGGAGCAGCCCAGAGCCUGAAUCAGUGUGUGUGUUAGUGGAAGCGUCUGGAAAGGCGCGCGAUACAGGGUGACAGCCCCGUACACAAAAAUGCACAUACUGUGAGCUCGAUGAGUAGGGCGGGACACGUGGUAUCCUGUCUGAAUAUGGGGGGACCAUCCUCCAAGGCUAAAUACUCCUGACUGACCGAUAGUGAACCAGUACCGUGAGGGAAAGGCGAAAAGAACCCCGGCGAGGGGAGUGAAAAAGAACCUGAAACCGUGUACGUACAAGCAGUGGGAGCACGCUUCGGCGUGUGACUGCGUACCUUUUGUAUAAUGGGUCAGCGACUUAUAUUCUGUAGCAAGGUUAACCGAAUAGGGGAGCCGAAGGGAAACCGAGUCUUAACUGGGCGUUAAGUUGCAGGGUAUAGACCCGAAACCCGGUGAUCUAGCCAUGGGCAGGUUGAAGGUUGGGUAACACUAACUGGAGGACCGAACCGACUAAUGUUGAAAAAUUAGCGGAUGACUUGUGGCUGGGGGUGAAAGGCCAAUCAAACCGGGAGAUAGCUGGUUCUCCCCGAAAGCUAUUUAGGUAGCGCCUCGUGAAUUCAUCUCCGGGGGUAGAGCACUGUUUCGGCAAGGGGGUCAUCCCGACUUACCAACCCGAUGCAAACUGCGAAUACCGGAGAAUGUUAUCACGGGAGACACACGGCGGGUGCUAACGUCCGUCGUGAAGAGGGAAACAACCCAGACCGCCAGCUAAGGUCCCAAAGUCAUGGUUAAGUGGGAAACGAUGUGGGAAGGCCCAGACAGCCAGGAUGUUGGCUUAGAAGCAGCCAUCAUUUAAAGAAAGCGUAAUAGCUCACUGGUCGAGUCGGCCUGCGCGGAAGAUGUAACGGGGCUAAACCAUGCACCGAAGCUGCGGCAGCGACACUAUGUGUUGUUGGGUAGGGGAGCGUUCUGUAAGCCUGUGAAGGUGUACUGUGAGGUAUGCUGGAGGUAUCAGAAGUGCGAAUGCUGACAUAAGUAACGAUAAAGCGGGUGAAAAGCCCGCUCGCCGGAAGACCAAGGGUUCCUGUCCAACGUUAAUCGGGGCAGGGUGAGUCGACCCCUAAGGCGAGGCCGAAAGGCGUAGUCGAUGGGAAACAGGUUAAUAUUCCUGUACUUGGUGUUACUGCGAAGGGGGGACGGAGAAGGCUAUGUUGGCCGGGCGACGGUUGUCCCGGUUUAAGCGUGUAGGCUGGUUUUCCAGGCAAAUCCGGAAAAUCAAGGCUGAGGCGUGAUGACGAGGCACUACGGUGCUGAAGCAACAAAUGCCCUGCUUCCAGGAAAAGCCUCUAAGCAUCAGGUAACAUCAAAUCGUACCCCAAACCGACACAGGUGGUCAGGUAGAGAAUACCAAGGCGCUUGAGAGAACUCGGGUGAAGGAACUAGGCAAAAUGGUGCCGUAACUUCGGGAGAAGGCACGCUGAUAUGUAGGUGAAGCGACUUGCUCGUGGAGCUGAAAUCAGUCGAAGAUACCAGCUGGCUGCAACUGUUUAUUAAAAACACAGCACUGUGCAAACACGAAAGUGGACGUAUACGGUGUGACGCCUGCCCGGUGCCGGAAGGUUAAUUGAUGGGGUUAGCGGUAACGCGAAGCUCUUGAUCGAAGCCCCGGUAAACGGCGGCCGUAACUAUAACGGUCCUAAGGUAGCGAAAUUCCUUGUCGGGUAAGUUCCGACCUGCACGAAUGGCGUAAUGAUGGCCAGGCUGUCUCCACCCGAGACUCAGUGAAAUUGAACUCGCUGUGAAGAUGCAGUGUACCCGCGGCAAGACGGAAAGACCCCGUGAACCUUUACUAUAGCUUGACACUGAACAUUGAGCCUUGAUGUGUAGGAUAGGUGGGAGGCUUUGAAGUGUGGACGCCAGUCUGCAUGGAGCCGACCUUGAAAUACCACCCUUUAAUGUUUGAUGUUCUAACGUUGACCCGUGAUCCGGGUUGCGGACAGUGUCUGGUGGGUAGUUUGACUGGGGCGGUCUCCUCCUAAAGAGUAACGGAGGAGCACGAAGGUUGGCUAAUCCUGGUCGGACAUCAGGAGGUUAGUGCAAUGGCAUAAGCCAGCUUGACUGCGAGCGUGACGGCGCGAGCAGGUGCGAAAGCAGGUCAUAGUGAUCCGGUGGUUCUGAAUGGAAGGGCCAUCGCUCAACGGAUAAAAGGUACUCCGGGGAUAACAGGCUGAUACCGCCCAAGAGUUCAUAUCGACGGCGGUGUUUGGCACCUCGAUGUCGGCUCAUCACAUCCUGGGGCUGAAGUAGGUCCCAAGGGUAUGGCUGUUCGCCAUUUAAAGUGGUACGCGAGCUGGGUUUAGAACGUCGUGAGACAGUUCGGUCCCUAUCUGCCGUGGGCGCUGGAGAACUGAGGGGGGCUGCUCCUAGUACGAGAGGACCGGAGUGGACGCAUCACUGGUGUUCGGGUUGUCAUGCCAAUGGCACUGCCCGGUAGCUAAAUGCGGAAGAGAUAAGUGCUGAAAGCAUCUAAGCACGAAACUUGCCCCGAGAUGAGUUCUCCCUGACUCCCUGAGAGUCCUGAAGGAACGUUGAAGACGACGACGUUGAUAGGCCGGGUGUGUAAGCGCAGCGAUGCGUUGAGCUAACCGGUACUAAUGAACCGUGAGGCUUAACCUU